rnacentral:rRNA from 1 species
UACGAAGGGUGCAAGCGUUACUCGGAAUUACUGGGCGUAAAGCGUGCGUAGGUGGUUUUUUAAGUCCGUUGUGAAAGCCCUGGGCUCAACCUGGGAAUGGCAGUGGAUACUGGAAAGCUAGAGUGCGGUAGAGGGUAGUGGAAUUCCCGGUGUAGCAGUGAAAUGCGUAGAGAUCGGGAGGAACACCGGUGGCGAAGGCGCCACUCUGGGCCGAAACUGACGCUGAGGAGCGAAAGCGUGGGUAGCAAACAGG